rnacentral:piRNA from 1 species
UACCCUAAAGGUGUAAGCAAGUUAUG